AAGUCGUAACAAGGUUUCCGUAGGUGAACCUGCGGAAGGAUCAUUACAACGUAUCCACGUACCAAACUCGUGCACUGUUUCCCUCUAGAGUAAACAACUCGUGGUUGAGGUCAAUGGUCGAUUGGUUUCCACUGAUGGAGUUCUCUCUGAGAGAACUGGAAAGCUCUCGUCCGCCGAAUGCGCUAGUCUCCGGACCGGUGCAUGAGGGACUUCGUUUGCUCUAUUGCGGUUGUGCGACCGUCAGCGCUAGUUUUACCUUGAUUAACCCUUUGCAAAUUUUGAACUGAGCUUGGAAGCUUAGCCAUGUCCUUGCUGGCCUAUGGUCACGGAUAGCGGCUGUGGUUUCCUUAAGUAUUUAACAAAGAACAACUCUUAGCAACGGAUAUCUUGGUUCUC
rnacentral:misc_RNA from 1 species